GAUGAACGCUGGCGGCGUGCCUAAUACAUGCAAGUCGAGCGAACAGACGAGGAGCUUGCUCCUCUGACGUUAGCGGCGGACGGGUGAGUAACACGUGGAUAACCUACCUAUAAGACUGGGAUAACUUCGGGAAACCGGAGCUAAUACCGGAUAAUAUAUUGAACCGCAUGGUUCAAUAGUGAAAGACGGUUUUGCUGUCACUUAUAGAUGGAUCCGCGCCGCAUUAGCUAGUUGGUAAGGUAACGGCUUACCAAGGCAACGAUGCGUAGCCGACCUGAGAGGGUGAUCGGCCACACUGGAACUGAGACACGGUCCAGACUCCUACGGGAGGCAGCAGUAGGGAAUCUUCCGCAAUGGGCGAAGGCCUGACGGAGCAACGCCGCGUGAGUGAUGAAGGUCUUCGGAUCGUAAAACUCUGUUGUUAGGGAAGAACAAAUGUGUAAGUAACUAUGCACGUCUUGACGGUACCUAAUCAGAAAGCCACGGCUAACUACGUG
rnacentral:rRNA from 1 species